UGGUUCCUAAGCGGCUCUGGGCCGCGGCUGUUCCUGAAUGGAUGUGGGCCUCCCUCUCUUGCACAUGGUCCGAGGUGUGAGCCAGGAGCGGAGGGCAGGGCCAUCUCCUCCAUCCCUGACCUGCACAGGAGCCCUGUGAAUUUGUCUUUCAACAACGUUCACUGAGCUCUACCACGUGUCAGGCACUGUUCUGGGAGGGUCUCCACAGCACACAGCCACCAAACACGGUGACAGGCAUCAAGGAGAAUGCUGUGGGCAGGGCCAGCUCUGAGUCUCAGGUCACCCAGCCCAGCUGGCCACAGACCCUUUACAGGGGUCAGAGGCUGUGGACACUGAUGACCCCCCAAGACAGAGCUAUAACAGCCUUAUCCCCAUAGCAAGGAGCUGUCAUUCAGGAGACCUGGGGGGCUCCCCUUGGCAGUGUGGGACAGAAUAGGGAGGAAAGAGAAUUUGCUGAGUGGACAGAGGCCUCUUUCUUCCCUGGGGCAAAGUCCCCUAUGCUCCUGGUGGUGGGGAUGGGCAUGAGCAUGGCAGGGUGCUGGAGCCAGUAGGGCUUAUGGGGAAAGAGCCAGCCCACAUGCCAGGGGCAGCAAGGAGCCUAACCCCAAGAAAGGGCAUCCCACAAGUUAUAGGUCCGGCCAUCAGCUGGGGAGCAAUGUUCAAAUGGGGGGAUCAGGGAGUCAACUGGGCAGUAUGGCCUGGGAUGGGCUCUGCCCUCCUCCCUCCCUCUCUGCAGAUGGAGCCACCAUGCCCUGGACCCCACUACUGGCCAUCACUAGGGCUAGCCUGCUGAGAGCCUGGCCAGGCCCCACCCUGCCCUGAACCAGGAUCCAAACCCUGGCCAGUUGCCUCUCCAGGCCACCUGAGAAAGCCUGUCCUCCCUGCACACCUACAGCAAAGGGCUUCCUUCUACCUUCUGUCAGGGCAGGGAUGACCAGGAUAAGGUCCACAGAGCACCAGCAGCCUGCCCUGCGUGGUAAAGUGUCCUUUAGUCACACAGACACCUAUGGAGGACCUCCAGGGUCCAGCCCUGCAAUGCCCCUGACCUAAAAUGGGGCCCAUCUUUGGGAGGCACCCCACUCCAAGAGAGCUUGGCUGGGGACUCAGAGCUCCUAGCUCCAGGGAGACCAGGGCCUGGGCAAGGCCCCUGGGCCUUGGAGCCAGGCAGGGUCUCCCCUCGGGGGCCUCAGCUCCUGGGUAAACAUUAAUGGGGCUCGGCACACAGCAGGUCAUGUGCGCACCCAGCGGAUCUUUGAC
rnacentral:lncRNA from 1 species